UACAGAGGUCUCAAGCGUUGUUCGGAUUCAUUGGGCGUAAAGGGUGCGUAGGUGGCGGGGCAAGUCAGGUGUGAAAUCUCGGGGCUCAACCCCGAAACUGCACUUGAUACUGCCUUGCUCGAGUACUGGAGAGGAGACUGGAAUUUACGGUGUAGCAGUGAAAUGCGUAGAUAUCGUAAGGAAGACCAGUGGCGAAGGCGGGUCUCUGGACAGUUCUGACGCUGAGGCACGAAGGUCAGGGGAGCAAACGGG
rnacentral:rRNA from 1 species